rnacentral:rRNA from 1 species
UGGGGAAUAUUGCACAAUGGGGGAAACCCUGAUGCAGCGACGCCGCGUGAGCGAAGAAGGCUUUCGAGUCGUAAAGCUCUGUCCUAUGAGAAGAUAAUGACGGUAUCAUAGGAGGAAGCCCUGGCUAAAUACGUGCCAGCAGCCGCGGUAAUACGUAUGGGGCGAGCGUUGUCCGGAAUUAUUGGGCGUAAAGGGUACGUAGGCGGUCUAUUAAGUCAGGUGUGAAAGCGUGAGGCUUAACCUCAUUAAGCACUUGAAACUGAUAGACUUGAGUGAAGGAGAGGAAAGUGGAAUUCCUAGUGUAGCGGUGAAAUGCGUAGAUAUUAGGGGGAAUACCGGUGGCGAAGGCGACUUUCUGGACUUUUACUGACGCUCAGGUACGAAAGCGUGGGGAGCAAACAGG